AGAGACAGCAGUAGCCGCGGUAAUACGUAGGGUGCGAGCGUUAAUCGGAAUUACUGGGCGUAAAGCGUGCGCAGGCGGUUGUGUAAGACAGGUGUGAAAUCCCCGGGCUUAACCUGGGAACUGCGCUUGUGACUGCACAGCUAGAGUAUGGCAGAGGGGGGUGGAAUUCCACGUGUAGCAGUGAAAUGCGUAGAGAUGUGGAGGAACACCGAUGGCGAAGGCAGCCCCCUGGGCCAAUACUGACGCUCAUGCACGAAAGCGUGGGGAGCAAACAGGAUUAGAUACCCCUGUAGUCCCUGUCUCUUAUAC
rnacentral:rRNA from 1 species